ACUCACCUCUUGCCAAACUACUUCCUCAGACAAGAUGAAGCCAAGGAGAAGCUUUCCGACAUGCUGGAGUCGCAGUGACUGCUGCCCAAUUUAAAAUCGAUGUCAGACUGUGCCCCAACUGCCUGGCGAGAUGAAAGAAGUGGUGUUGUGGUCACCUGAGGAGGUGACAAAUUGGCUAAUGGAAAACGCUGUGCCGGAGUAUUGUGAGCCGCUGAAGAGCUUCACUGGGCAGGAUUUGAUCAACCUCACAGAGGAGGAUUUUAAGAAGACGCCUCUCUCCCGGGUGUCUUCUGACAGUGGGCAGCGGCUCUUGCACAUGAUUGAAACUUUAAAAAUGGCUCACCACAUUGAGGCUCACAAAAACGGGCACGUCAACGGGCACAUCCGUGUCAGCGUGAGCAGCGCCGCGCGCGAGAAUGGCUUUGGCAGUAAAAUGAAGCUGAAUGGGAUGCCAAACGGGUAUAAGAAGGAGAUGAUAAAGAUCCCCAUGCCAGAGCCAGAGCGCUCACAGUAUCCUAUGGAAUGGGGCAAGACUUUCCUGGCUUUUAUUUAUGCACUUUUUUGUUUCGUCUUUACCACAGUGACUAUCUCAGUCGUUCAUGAACGAGUGCCUCCCAAGGAGGUGCAGCCUCCCCUACCAGAUGCAUUUUUUGAUCACUUUGAUCGGGUGCAAUGGGCUUUUUCUAUUUGUGAAAUCAACGGCAUGAUCCUUGUAGGACUCUGGUUUGUUCAGUGGCUGCUCUUAAAAUACAAGUAA